rnacentral:rRNA from 1 species
GGUCAAGCUAUUAAGGGCGCAUGGGGGAUGCCUUGGCACCAGAGGGCCGAUGAAGGGCGUAGUAAGACUGCGAUAAGCCUCGGUUAGCUGUCUAACAAGCUUAAGCCGUGGAUACCCGAAUGGGGAAACCCGUCUUUUUAAAGACACUUGAUUUGUAAAAAUCAAGAGGUAAGUGGGGGAACUGAAACAUCUAAGUACCCUGAGGAAAAUAAAUCAACCGAGAUUCCCAAAGUAGCGGCGAGCGAAAUGGGACUAGCCUAAACCAAUAUUGUGUCAUGACUGUCAUCUUAGCAAUAUUGGAGUUGUGGGAAGUAAUUGGAGAGUUUGACAGAACUUUCGGCGAGUCAAAAAACUUUUAUUUAGAAGAAUUGAAUCAGGAAAGGUUCAGCCGUAGAGGGUGAAAGCCCCGUAUUCGAAAAAUAAAAGUCUCGUUGGAUUAUUUUCUCAAGUAGGGCGGAACACGAGAAAUUCCGUUUGAAUCUGCCAGGACCACCUGGUAAGGCUAAAUACUCUCAUAUGACCGAUAGUGUAUUAGUACCGUGAGGGAAAGGUGAAAAGAACC